ensembl:lncRNA
GUGGCAACAGGCAAACAUCCCUCUCUGCUGACUGACGGCGGUUUGGGUGCGACUCGCUGUGUUUGUUCCAGCGUGUUGGAGAGCAGCAGGAAUCUUCAGCAGACAGAUGUGGCAGCUGGACCACACCAGCCAAUAGGAGGCCAGAGCCUGGUGGCCGUUAGUCACAUGACUGCUGCUGCUUCCUGUCCGACCAUGGCCUCCUCAGUGAGGAAACAAACAGAGACAACAUCAGAGACGGCCCCACCUACCUGCAUGAUGAUCACUGAAGUGGAGUUUCCAGUCUGAAAGCAGGAUUCCACACAAAUCAGGUCUGGUCUGGACGAAUCUGAGGACGAAACAUCUGGAGAUGGAAACUAUCACCAGUGAACCUGAUAACCAGUGAACCUGAUCACCAGUUAAACUGGAACAGCGGCACCAAUAGAUGACCAGUAUCACUGAAAACAACAUCUGUGGUUAACAGGACAAAUUCCAGCUCUCUCCAAAUCAGCAUCAGACACAUGAUUGAUCUUCUUAAACUGUUCUCCAGCAGAACCUCCUGACUCUCAUUAUAGAACAAUGUGGAGCUCCAUGAUUUCUGUGUGGGGUUUUCACUCUCAAAAACAGAAUAAAAUAGGAAAAGGGCUCGAGGACAGCCAUUCUAGAUGUGUUCACGGUCCAGACCAGCUCUAAACUGUUCUUCCUCGGUGACUUCCGGUGUUGCUACAAAAUAAAACAACAGCCGUAUUUUGUAUUUCGGGUUUAAAAGCUCGACCAAAAAAGAAUUACAGACAAACUUUAACAAAAGCUGCCUGGGAGUUUACAGGUUUUUAUGUUAAAUUUCUUCAGUAAUUUAAUGAGAGUUAUUAGCAAAAAUCAAGUGUUCAUUUGAUGAACUUCAUUUCCUAAAAACAUCCAGAAUUGGAGCUCAUAUCUUUGACAGCUGUAAAGUUUCUGCUCCUUCAAAGUUCACAACACAAUGAAUGAAUUCCUAAAACACUCUCAAUGCUGGAGAGCAUUUGAUGCUGAAGCAGUGAGCAGUUUUUCUGUUUCUUCUCUGGAGAUGCACAAUGAGGGACGUCUGCAGCGACUGAGAAAGAGUCUCACCACAUCCUGACAUGAGGAAAAAGACUUUAUUGAAGACUACAAUGAGAAAAACUAUCAGACAGCAGACGGCUGCAUUCAAGAGAGGAAGACCAUCAAACAUCCACGUCAGCUGAUGGAGGUCCAAGAGUCUCACCCAACAAACAACCUACAGAGUGAAGACCUCCAAUCUGAUUGGACGGCCUCCUAUUCAGCCACAUUUUAGGCUGUUAGAUUGUUCCAGAUAAGACAAGUACAAGAUUCUUCAGAGCCUUUCUACCACGAGCCUGACAGGAAGAACUCCAACAGCUACUGAAUGUUCCUGUGGUUCCCUCAAGGCUACAGGAGGAGUCCUACGAGGACGAGCUGGUCCACCUGAUGGUGGCCAGUCACUGCGGUUCAAAGCCAACACCGACUACGUGGACUUCUACUGGACCACAUGGAGGCCUUCAAACCGGACCAACAAGUUCAGCGACUCCCCGACUCGUGGGUCUGAGGACGCCGCCGAGCCUCGGUCCAGCCGGCCUCCUGUCUGUGGGUGUUUGAGUGCUGAGAGGUUUGUGGAUGCAUGUGAACGUUCUGUGUUGAAACAGCAGCUUUGGACUCAGUAACGCCGGGAAAAACCAAGAGCUCCUUUAUUUGUGACUUCCACUAAAAAAACUGAAGAAAAUAAGUUUGCCAGGGUUCUGACUGAUAACAGAUUAUUAAAUAAUGAAAAUAAUCCUUUAAAUGUUCCUUUAAACAAUCCUUUUAGGUCUACAUUUCCUUUACACUGACUUCUUGGUGCAUGUACAAGUAUUUUGGGUGGAAUAUACCAAUAAGCCCAAUGUUCAAGGGUUCUUCUGGGAAUAUAUCAUUAAACCAACCUUUUAGGUAAAUGUUCCAGGAUGUUGGGUAGAAUAUACCAUCAGAUCAACCUUUUAGGUCUACAUUGGAAGAUUUUAGAGUAGAAUAUUGCUCCAAACC